rnacentral:rRNA from 1 species
GGCUGGUCGUUUUCAAGAUCAGUCUGGCCUGCCCACUGAUAUGUUUAAAGGGCCGCGGUAUCCUGACCGUGCGAAGGUAGCAUAAUAAUUAGUCUUUUAAUUGAAGACCGGAAUGAAAGGUCGGACAAAAAGCAACCUGUCUCAACCUUAAUUAUUUAAUUUAACUUUUAAGUGAAAAGGCUUAAAUAUCCUUGUAGGACGACAAGACCCUAUAAAACUUUAUAUUCUCUCUUUAUCUUCUGAUAUGUUUGUGAAAAGUAAAAUAAAUGAGAAGUGUAUUUCGUUGGGGCGACGAAAGUAUAAUUUUAUAACUGCUUUAACCUUUAACAUAAAUUCAUGAACAAUAAAGAUCCUAACUUAAGAUUUAAAGAAAAAGUUACUUUAGGGAUAACAGCGUAAUUUUUUUUAAGAGUCCUUAUCGACAAAAAAGUUUGCGACCUCGAUGUUGAAUUAAAAUAACCUAACGGUGCAGCAGCCGUUAAGGUAGGUCUGUUCGACCUUUAAAAUUUU